UCAAAAACAUUGCCCUUAGAAUUAAAAAUUAAGGGUACGUCCUGCCCAGUGACAUACGUGUUUAACGGCCGCGGUACCCUGACCGUGCAAAGGUAGCAUAAUCACUCGCCUUUUAAUUGGAGGCUAGCAUGAAUGGAUAAACGAGGGCUCAACUGUCUCCUUUGAUCCAAUAAAAAUUAACCCUUAGGUGAAGAUGCCUAAAUAAAAAUGAAAGACAAGAAGACCCUAUUGAGCUUUACCUCUCCCACGUCUUAUAGAAAAUAAACUAAUACCUAUCUCCCGUGCCCAGGUUCUGUUGGGGCGACAAAGGAAUAAACUAAUCUUCCUCUAAUUAUUAAACCCCCAGUUUUAUAAAUGACCCUUCCUAGAUCAAAGAACUAAGCUACCAUAGGGAUAACAGGCUAAUUCUUCUCGAGAGUCCACAUUAACAGAAGAGUUUGGCACCUCGAUGUUGGCUUGGGGGCCCCUAUAUGGUGCAGCAGCCCAAUAGGUGGGUUUGUUCAACCCUUAAAACCCCACGUGAUCUGAGUCCAGACCGGA
rnacentral:rRNA from 1 species